UAAGGAAUAUUGGUCAAUGGACGCAAGUCUGAACCAGCCAUGCCGCGUGAAGGAUGAAGGUCCUCUGGAUUGUAAACUUCUUUUAUCUGGGACGAAAACGGGAUUUUUAUCUCAAUUGACGGUACCAGAGGAAUAAGCACCGGCUAACUCCGUGCCAGCAGCCGCGGUAAUACGGAGGGUGCGAGCGUUAUCCGGAUUUACUGGGUUUAAAGGGUGCGUAGGUGGGCUUAUAAGUCAGUGGUGAAAUCUCCGAGCUUAACUUGGAAACUGCCGUUGAUACUAUAGGUCUUGAAUUAUCUGGAGGUAAGCGGAAUAUUUCAUGUAGCGGUGAAAUGCUUAGAUAUGACAUAGAACGCCAAUUGCGAAGGCAGCUUACUACAUAUAAAUUGACGCUGAGGCACGAAAGCGUGGGGAUC
rnacentral:rRNA from 1 species